rnacentral:rRNA from 1 species
CGGCACGGGUGAGUAAUACAUCGGAACGUGUCUUCUAGUGGGGGAUAACUGCCCGAAAGGGCAGCUAAUACCGCAUGAGACCUGAGGGUGAAAGCGGGGGAUCGCAAGACCUCGCGCUGGAAGAGCGGCCGAUGUCCGAUUAGCUAGUUGGUGAGGUAAAGGCUCACCAAGGCGACGAUCGGUAGCCGGACUGGGAGGUUGAACGGCCACAUUGGGACUGAGACACGGCCCAG